AGUGCACACGGUGGAUGCCUUGGCAGUUGGAGGCGAUGAAAGACGUAGGAGCCUGCGAUAAGGUUUGGGGAGCUGGCACACAAGCUUUGAUCCAAACAUUUCUGAAUGGGGAGACCCACCCGCUUGCGGGUAUCUUGCACUGAAUACAUAGGUGUAAGAGGCGAACCCGGGGAACUGAAACAUCUAAGUACCCGGAGGAAAAGAAAUCAACCGAGAUUCCCUAAGUAGCGGCGAGCGAAAGGGGACCAGCCGAGAAUAUAAGAAGUAGCAGAACGCUCUGGAAAGUGCGGCCAUAAAGGGUGAUAGCCCCGUACGUGAAGCUUCUUGUAUUCCAUAUUAAGUAGGUCGGGACACGUGAUAUCCUGACUGAAGAUAGGGGGGACCAUCCUCUAAGGCUAAAUACUCCCAACUGACCGAUAGUGAACCAGUACCGUGAGGGAAAGGCGAAAAGAACCCCUGUGAGGGGAGUGAAAUAGAUCCUGAAACCGUGUGCAUACAAGCAGUAGGAGCUCUUCGGAGUGACUGCGUACCUUUUGUAUAAUGGGUCAGCGACUUAUUGUUUGUGGCAAGGUUAAGCGCAUAGCGGAGCCGUAGAGAAAUCGAGUCUUAAUAGGGCGUCGAGUCGCAAGCAAUAGACCCGAAACCGGGCGAUCUAUCCAUGGGCAGGUUGAAGGUUAGGUAACACUGACUGGAGGACCGAACUCACUAACGUUGAAAAGUUAGGAGAUGACUUGUGGAUCGGAGUGAAAGGCUAAUCAAGCCCGGAGAUAGCUGGUUCUCCCUGAAAACUAUUUAGGUAGUGCGUCGUGUCUUACCCUCGGGGGUAGAGCACUGUUUGGGCUAGGGGGUCAUCCCGACUUACCAACCCCAUGCAAACUCCGAAUACCGAGGAGUACAAUCACGGCAGACAGACAGCGGGUGCUAACGUCCGUUGUCAAGAGGGCAACAACCCAGACCGCCAGCUAAGGUCCCCAAUAUCAGUUAAGUGGGAAACGAUGUGGGAAGGCUUAGACAGCUAGGAGGUUGGCUUAGAAGCAGCCAUCCUUUAAAGAAAGCGUAAUAGCUCACUAGUCGAGUCGGCCUGCGCGGAAGAUUUAACGGGGCUCAAACUGAUAACCGAAGCUGCGGAUGCCUUAGGGCAUGGUAAGGGAGCGUUCUGUAAGCCUGCGCGAAGGUGAGUUGUAAAGCUUGCCUGGAGGUAUCAGAAGUGCGAAUGCUGACAUGAGUAACGACCAAGGGGAGUGAAAAAACUCCCCCGCCGGAAGAUCAAGGUUUCCUGUCCAACGCUAAUCGGGACAGGGUUAGUCGGCCCCUAAGGCGAGGCAGAAAUGCGUAGUCGAUGGGAAGCGCGUUAAUAUUCGUGCACCGGCUGUUACUGCGAUGGAGAGACGGAGAAGGCUAGAUCGGCAUGGCGUUGGUUAGUCCAUGUUUAAGGUAGUAGGCUUAUGGUUUAGGUAAAUCCGGACCAUACCCUUUAAUGGGAAGGCUGAGAACUGAUGACGAGCUCCUUUAUGGAGUGAAGUGAUUGAUGCCAUACUUCCAAGAAAAUCUUCUAAGCUUCAGGUAACAGGCGACCGUUACUGUAAACCGACACAAGGUGAUCAGGUAGAGAAUACCAAGGCGCUUGAGAGAACCUCGGGUGAAGGAACUAGGCAAAAUAGCACCGUAACUUCGGGAGAAGGUGCGCCGCUGAUGGUGAUGGGACUUGCUCCCUAAGCUAUUGGCGGUCGAAGUAACCAGGUGGCUGCGACUGUUUAUUAAAAACAUAGCACUGUGCAAACACGUAAGUGGACGUAUACGGUGUGACGCCUGCCCGGUGCCGGAAGGUUAAUUGAUGGGGUUAUCUUCGGAGAAGCUCUUGAUCGAAGCCCCGGUAAACGGCCGGCCGUAACUAUAACGGUCCUAAGGUAGCGAAAUUCCUUGUCGGGUAAGUUCCGACCUGCCACGAAUGGCGUAACGAUGGCCACGCUGUCUCCACCCGAGACUCAGUGAAAUUGAAAUUGCGGUUAAGAUGCCGUAUACCCGCGGCUAGACGGAAAGACCCCGUGAACCUUUUACUACAGCUUUACACUGAACUUUGAACCUAUUUGUGUAGGAUAGCUGGGAGGCUUUGAAGCGUAGACGCUAGUCUAUGUGGAGCCAACCUUGAAAUACCAGCCUGAUAUGUUUGAGGUUCUAACCUAGGUCCCUUAUCGGGAUUGGGGACAGUGUAUGGUGGGUAGUUUGACUGGGGCGGUCUCCUCCCAAAGAGUAACGGAGGAGCACGAAGGUUGGCUAAUCAUGGUCGGAAAUCAUGAGGUUAGUGUAAUGGCACAAGCCAGCUUGACUGCGAGACUGACACGUCGAGCAGGUACGAAAGUAGGUCAUAGUGAUCCGGUGGUUCUGUAUGGAAGGGCCAUCGCUCAACGGAUAAAAGGUACUCCGGGGAUAACAGGCUGAUACCGCCCAAGAGUUCACAUCGACGGCGGUGUUUGGCACCUCGAUGUCGGCUCAUCACAUCCUGGGGCUGAAGCCGGUCCCAAGGGUAUGGCUGUUCGCCAUUUAAAGUGGUACGCGAGCUGGGUUUAGAACGUCGUGAGACAGUUCGGUCCCUAUCUGCCGUGGGCGUUGGAAAUUUGAGAAGAGUUGCUCCUAGUACGAGAGGACCGGAGUGAACGAACCCCUGGUGUUCGGGUUGUCAUGCCAAUGGCAUUGCCCGGUAGCUACGUUCGGACGGGAUAACCGCUGAAAGCAUCUAAGCGGGAAGCCUCCUUCAAGAUUAGAUUUCCCUGGGAUUUAAUCCCCUAAAGGGCCGUUGAAGACUACGACGUUGAUAGGUUGGGUGUGGAAGCGCUGCGAGGCGUUGAGCUAACCAAUACUAAUUGCCCGUGAGGCUUGACC
rnacentral:rRNA from 1 species